UGAGGAAUAUUGGACAAUGGGCGCAAGCCUGAUCCAGCCAUGCCGCGUGCAGGAAGACGCAUCUAUGGUGUGUAAACUGCUUUUGUACGGGAAGAAACACCUCUACGUGUAGAGGCUUGACGGUACCGUAAGAAUAAGGAUCGGCUAACUCCGUGCCAGCAGCCGCGGUAAUACGGAGGAUCCAAGCGUUAUCCGGAAUCAUUGGGUUUAAAGGGUCCGUAGGCGGUUUGGUAAGUCAGUGGUGAAAGCCCAUCGCUUAACGAUGGAACGGCCAUUGAUACUGCCAGACUUGAAUUACAAGGAAGUAACUAGAAUAUGUAGUGUAGCGGUGAAAUGCUUAGAUAUUACAUGGAAUACCAAUUGCGAAGGCAGGUUACUACUUGUGGAUUGACGCUGAUGGACGAAAGCGUGGGGAGCGAACAGG
rnacentral:rRNA from 1 species